rnacentral:rRNA from 1 species
AAUGAACGCUGGCGGCGUGCCUAAUACAUGCAAGUCGAACGGAAGGAUGAUAAGAUUGUGCUUUUGCCGUUGGCGGCGGGCGGGCGAGUAACGAGUGGAUCGCAAACCUCUUUUUCGGGGAGGAUAACGGAAAACAAGUUCUGCUACUACAUCAUAUGAUCUACCGGUGAAUUCAAUGGAGCAUGGCAGCUUUCGUGAUUGAAUUAGACGAUUCCGGGCCGGAUUAGCUAGUUGGUAAGGUAACGGCUUACCAAGGCUACGAUGCGUAGCCGAUCUGAGAGGGUGAUCGGCCACACUGGAACUGAGACACGGUCCAGACUCCUACGGGAGGCAGCAGUAGGGAAUCUUCGGCAAAGGGCGAAAGCCUGACCGAGCAAUGCCGCGUGAGUGAUGGAGGUCUUCGGAUCGUAAAACUCUGUUAUUAGGGAAGAACAAAUGUGUAAGUAACUAUGCACGUCUUGACGGUACCUAAUCAGAAAGCCACGGCUAACUACGUG